CUAAGACCCGUGUGCAGCAGCGGCGGCGGCGGUAGAGGCGGCGGCGGCGGCGGCAGCGGGCUCGGAGGCAGCGGUUGGGCUCGCGGCGAGCGGACGGGGUCGAGUCAGUGCGUUCGCGCGAGUUGGAAUCGAAGCCUCUUAAAAUGGCAGAUGACUUGGACUUCGAGACAGGAGAUGCAGGGGCCUCAGCCACCUUCCCAAUGCAGUGCUCAGCAUUACGUAAGAAUGGCUUUGUGGUGCUCAAAGGCCGGCCAUGUAAGAUCGUCGAGAUGUCUACUUCGAAGACUGGCAAGCACGGCCACGCCAAGGUUAGAAUUUCACCUCCGCAUCUUGCCUUCCCCAUGCCUCCAGUAUCUUUGGCGCUCCCAGCAGCAAGCUGCCAACAGUGCUGACUUUCCUUUAAUUCUGCUUUUACUGUCUGAUUGUUUUUGUUUAGCGCUCAGCCUUCAUACUCAUUCAGACAACUACACCUGCUCCCCAGUCUUCAGCCUCUUCUGUGGUUACCCUUCUGUCCCCGCAUCAUUCUCUGGCAGUCCCUCCGUUUCUCCAGCUUUGUGCCAAUCUCUUCAAUUCAUAGGCCUUUAUGCUCUAGCUAUUCAGUUGCUCCUU
rnacentral:sRNA from 1 species